AUUGAACGCUGGCGGCAGGCCUAACACAUGCAAGUCGAGCGAGAGGCGGACGGGUGAGUAUUGUAUGGGGACUGCCCGACAGAGGGGGAUAACUACUGGAAACGGUGGCUAAUACCGCAUACUAUCGGAUAACCCAUAUGGGAUUAGCUAGUGGGUGGGGUAAAGGCUCACCUAGGCGACGAUCUCUAGCUUGUCUGAGAGGAUGAUCAGCCCCACUGGAACUGAGACACGGCCCAGACUCCUACGGAGGCAGCAGUGGGGAUGGUUGCGCAAUGGGCGGAAGCCUGAUGCAGCCAGGCCGCGUGUAUGAAGAAGGCCUUAGGGUUGUAGAGUACUUUCAGCGGGGAGGCGUUACCCGCAGAGGAAGCACCGGCUAACUCCGUGACAGCAGCCGCGGUAAUAC
rnacentral:rRNA from 1 species